rnacentral:tRNA from 1 species
GCUCUCGUGGCUCAGUUGGUUAGUGCGUCGUACUUAUAAUGCGAAGGUCGAGGGUUCGAUCCCCUCCGGGAGCA